rnacentral:rRNA from 1 species
CCUACGGGGGGCUGCAGUAAGGAAUAUUGCGCAAUGGACGAAAGUCUGACGCAGCAACGCCGCGUGCAGGAUGAAGGCCCUUUGGGUUGUAAACUGCUGUAGAAAGGGAAUAAUAGUUUGCCACGGGUGAACUUGAAGGUACCUUUAAAGUAAGCGCCGGCUAACUACGUGCCAGCAGCCGCGGUAAUACGUAGGGCGCAAGCGUUGUCCGGAUUCACUGGGUGUAAAGGGUGCUCGGCCGGUCAGGGGUGAAAUCUCACGGCUCAACCGGGAAACUGCCUUUGAUACUGCUUAUCUUGAGUUCGGGAGAGGUUGAUGGAAUUCCAGGUGUAGCGGUGAAAUGCGUAGAUAUCUGGAAGAACACCAGUGGCGAAGGCGGUCAACUGGCCCGCAACUGACGCUCAUGCACGAAAGCGAGGGGAUCAAACAGGAUUAGAUACCCGAGUAGUC